rnacentral:lncRNA from 1 species
GUUUCUAAAAAAACAAGAGAAAUCUCUCUCAAAUUCCUCUGGCUCUCUGAGCUCUGGUCUAGGAACCAUCACUGCUCAUCCUUGAGCUCCGCUGUACGAGGUCUUCAUGUGCCGACGCGCCAUCCUAAGGACCACUACUCACGGUGGCUAAGGUUCGAAAAACCCUUCCUUUUCCCUUGCAAAUCAUCAGGUAACCCCUUUUUCUUUUAUUUUCCUUGAUUAUAUUUUAAAUCUGUGUAUUCAUGCCAAAAAACAAACAGGUAAAUAGAAGAUAAAAAAAAGAUUCGAUUACUUUUAAAAAAAACGAAAAAACUGCCUUUUAUUUCUUCUGCUCUUAAUGAAUACAACUGUUUGUAAAUCUCUAUCUCUCUGUAUUUUUUUCUUUCUGUAUGUGUAAAAAAAACUCUAUUCUGUAUAUGUGUGCUUCUCUGUCUUCUUGGGUGUAAAUCGCUGUUUUUUCUCCGUGUCCCCCCUUUUUACAGACUCUCAGAAAGGCUUUAUAGCCUUAAACUGACAUAUUUUAGGAAAGAAAUCACAAGAUUUCUUUCCAUAUCCUAUUCUAAUCUGCCUACGAAUUUCUUUCCUUUUUCGUAGGAAGAUCGCGAAGAUCACGGUAGUAAACUCGUCGGCGUUGAUGGAGGCAUGAAAUUUGGUGGUGAAGAGCCCUGAGUAUGCUGAGAAGUCCCAAUUGGUAGCUGAGGAGUCGUCUGGGCUGUGCUGAGAAAGUGCAUUAAUGGCCUCGAUUUGGGGAGCUGGACAGGCGCUCCCCGAGACUUCCAGAAGAUGUUGCGGCGCUAGGGUUUCUAACCCUAUCUGAAAGUCAUUUGGGCCCCUGCUGUUUGGGCCUUCAGGUUUAUUGGUAUUAAGUGUCUGUUUGGGUCGGUUGUAAUGGGUCUAUUUUAAGUUUGGGCUACGGGUGAAUUUGGGUACACGGGUAAUGGGCCAGUUGGGUUUUAAUUUUUUGGGCCGUGGUUAGUGGGUUUGCAUUUUGGAUUCUGUAAAAGGACUUUAAAAUGGACAUUUUAAAUAAAUAAAUACUUAUUCAUUUAA